AUUGAACGCUGGCGGCAGGCCUAACACAUACAAGUCGAGCGGCAGCGGGAAAGUAGCUUGCUACUUUUGCCGGCGAGCGGCGGACGGGUGAGUAAUGCCUGGGAAAUUGCCCAGUCGAGGGGGAUAACAGUUGGAAACGACUGCUAAUACCGCAUACGCCCUACGGGGGAAAGCAGGGGACCUUCAGGCCUUGCGCGAUUGGAUAUGCCCAGGUGGGAUUAGCUAGUUGGUGAGGUAAUGGCUCACCAAGGCGACGAUCCCUAGCUGGUCUGAGAGGAUGAUCAGCCACACUGGAACUGAGACACGGUCCAGACUCCUACGGGAGGCAGCAGUGGGGAAUAUUGCAAAAUGGGGGAAACCCUGAUGCAGCCAUGCCGCGUGUGAAGAAGGCCUUCGGGUUGUAAAGCACUUUCAGCGAGGAGGAAAGGUCAGUAGCUAAUACCUGCUGACUGUGACGUUACUCGCAGAAGAAGCACCGGCUAACUCCGUGCCAGCCGCCGCCGUAAAAC
rnacentral:rRNA from 1 species